rnacentral:rRNA from 1 species
UACGUAUGUCGCAAGCGUUAUCCGGAAUUAUUGGGCAUAAAGGGCAUCUAGGCGGCCAGACAAGUCUGGGGUGAAAACUUGCGGCUCAACCGCAAGCCUGCCCUGGAAACUGCCUGGCUAGAGUGCUGGAGAGGUGGACGGAACUGCACGAGUAGAGGUGAAAUUCGUAGAUAUGUGCAGGAAUGCCGAUGAUGAAGAUAGUUCACUGGACGGCAACUGACGCUGAAGUGCGAAAGCUGGGGGAG